rnacentral:rRNA from 1 species
AGAGCGAACGCUGGCGGCAUGCUUAACACAUGCAAGUCGCACGGGCAUUUCGGUGUCAGUGGCGGACGGGUGAGUAACGCGUAGGUAUCUAUCCUUGGGUGGGGGAUAACGGUUGGAAACGACUGCUAAUACCGCAUGAUAACUGAGGUUUAAAGGCGCAAGUCGCCUGGGGAGGAGCCUGCGUACGAUUAGCUUGUUGGUGGGGUAAAGGCCUACCAAGGCGACGAUCGUUAGCUGGUCUGAGAGGAUGAUCAGCCACAUUGGGACUGAGACACGGCCCAAACUCCUACGGGAGGCAGCAGUGGGGAAUAUUGGACAAUGGGCGAAAGCCUGAUCCAGCAAUGCCGCGUGUGUGAAGAGGUCUUCGGAUUGUAAAGCACUUUCGACAGGGACGAUGAUGACGGUACCUGUAGAAGAACGCCCCGGCUAACUUCGCGCCAGCAGCCGC